CCUGAUCCGCGCCCUUUACGGGGUGUGUGUGUUGGUGUGGCGUCUGCCAUCUUUUGUGUAGGUGCUACAGAUUUUGGGGNNNNNNNNNNNNNNUUUCAUGCUGUGGGUUAUCAUCUACAUCUUUUACUUUGAAAAAAUUAGAGUGUUUAAAGCAGGCUUUUAGCCCUUGAAUACAUUAGCAUGGAAUAAUAAUAUAGGACUUCGGUUCUAUUUUGUUGGUUUCUAGUACUGAAGUAAUGAUUGAUAGGGAUAGUUGGGGGUGCUAGUAUUCAGCGGCCAGAGGUGAAAUUCUUGGAUUCG
rnacentral:rRNA from 1 species